AUUUUUUGUGGAGACAGGAUCUCGCUGUGUUGCCCGGGCUGGUCUCAAACUUCUGGACACAAACAAUCCUCCACAUUGGCCUCCCAAAAUGCUGGAAUUACAGGUGUGAGCCACUGGACCAGCAGGACUCUAAAUUUUGGUGCUCAAAAAACAUUUGUUGAGUAAGUGAACCUGAGACUAUCAACAAGCAUUAUUUUAAAAUCACUAGCAAAGGGUCAGAUGAAAGUGAGAUCCAUACAUCCUUCUUCAGCAACUUGUGCCUCUGCUCUGCACCUCCCGCAAUUAACUACUGAAAAAAGAACACAGCUUCACAAAAGAGAUUGUAAAAUCAGGAAGUAUAUCUAAGUCACCUCCAGUAGCCGUAACUCUACCUUGUCCAGUAAAAGGAUAAUUCUGGCAGCUAUUGAAAACAGACUGAAGAGAAGAAAGAAGAUUUGGAGGAAUAUGUAUCCAAGAUUGAUGAUGGUGGCUCAGAUCAGUGCUGCUUGUUGCUGACGUUUCUGCCCAAACAUCAUGAAAUGUGGAGAAGAAAGAACACUCAGAUGUGCCCUGGAGACUUUCCUUUUAUUUUUAAACAGUCUUUUUCCCCUAGGCCAUUGGCUUGUGAUCUCCUGACUGAGACUUUACUGAGG
rnacentral:lncRNA from 10 species